rnacentral:lncRNA from 1 species
AGAGAAAUUAAUGGUAGAGAAAUAUAACCUGGGGACACUUUUGCUGAACUCAUUGGUUACAGUUUACUAAAGACAGAGAGCCAAAUUCCCAGCUAGGGUAACUUGUUUCAUUUCCACUGACUUUCAAGAGGCUCUGAAGUCUAAGCUUUUCUUUUCAUUUGCCUCACAGGUACAGAAGUGCCUUUCACUGGCCUGUAGAGCUUCAGUGAUGGAAAAUGUGACUACAGCUUGAAGCAGGCUGAAAGCAACAAAAACACAAGCCCUGAUACAAGAUUCUGUGCAAACUUCUUCUGGGUUGAGCUGGAAAUGGAUGGCUUUCUGAAAGGAUUUUGACAGCUCCGCUUUUCUUUUCUUUUUUUUAAUUAAAUUGAAUAGAAAGGAAAAAGGAAAGGAAAAUUAAUUAAGAGCUUUUUGUUUGUUUGAUCUUAGUAGACAGUUAAGCUCAAUUUUUAUUGGAUCUUUAGGCAGGGAUUCUGGUUUAUUUAUCCAAUCUGUCUGACGAUUAUUAUAUUUCUGGUAGGGUGAACACCAAAGAAUAAAUGAAGGAUAAUGAGAUAAACA